GGCAAUCGGCAAAUGACUAUUUUAAAAUUUGGGAGGUUGAGUAUUCAAAUUUCUUAUUAUUUUUUUUAUCUUGUCUAUUUUUUUACUUUGUUGCAGUAUAUUUUCAUUAAUAUUGAUAUAUUUGAAUUUUAUUUUGUUAUUGUUUUUUAAUGUUUUUCUUCUUCUUAAGAGAUUCUAUAUAUUUGAUGUUAAGAAGAUGUUUGCCAACGCCUCAUAAUAUUAAUAUAUUUGAACUUUUUAUACAUCUAUUUGAGAGAAAAUAU
rnacentral:lncRNA from 1 species